rnacentral:rRNA from 1 species
UACGGGGGGGGCAAGCGUUGUUCGGAAUUACUGGGCGUAAAGGGCGCGUAGGCGGCCAACUAAGUCAGACGUGAAAUCCCUCGGCUUAACCGGGGAACUGCCUCUGAUACUGGAUGGCUUGAGAUUGGGAGAGGGAUGCGGAAUUCCAGGUGUAGCGGUGAAAUGCGUAGAUAUCUGGAGGAACACCGGUGGCGAAGGCGGCAUCCUGGACCAACACUGACGCUGAGGAGCGAAAGCCAGGGGAGCAAACGGG